GAGGCCUGGCUGCGGCUGCGGCGCGCGGGCUGGGCUGGGGUCGGGGAGGGUUUGCCCACGCGAACCUGUGUGCGGUGGAAGCAUCCCCGAGACCCACCCCGCUGUCGGGCAGCGAGGGCACCGGGGAAGGGGCUCUCCCGCUGGCCUCUCAGCCCCCUCGUUAAUAUUAGCACCUAAUACAGUUCCCAGUGAAGUCAGUGAAGCAAGUCAUACUCAUUUGAAGAAAGGUAAAACUGAGAUAAUGCAUGGAUUUAUUCCCAAGAGUGAAAUUCAGCAGCGGCCUGCAGUCCCAUUCAAACCCUCCAGGAGAAAUUCAACCAGCUGCCUGCAUAGCUUUUAGCUUCCUUUGGAUGUUUGCAAAAAUAAAACUGGUUUGAUAAGUUAUUAAUGAAAACAGUUUGGUGGCUACUUUGUUAGAGUGUUUAUCCCAUCUCCUGUUUUCUGUAUUUAUGGAAAACCUGUAAAUAAAACAUAUUCUUUUGGAUCUC